UGGGGAAUAUUGGACAAUGGGCGCAAGCCUGAUCCAGCCAUGCCGCGUGAGUGAUGAAGGCCCUAGGGUUGUAAAGCUCUUUCACCGGUGAAGAUAAUGACGGUAACCGGAGAAGAAGCCCCGGCUAACUUCGUGCCAGCAGCCGCGGUAAUACGAAGGGGGCUAGCGUUGUUCGGAUUUACUGGGCGUAAAGCGCACGUAGGCGGACUUUUAAGUCAGGGGUGAAAUCCCGGGGCUCAACCCCGGAACUGCCUUUGAUACUGGAAGUCUUGAGUAUGGUAGAGGUGAGUGGAAUUCCGAGUGUAGAGGUGAAAUUCGUAGACAUUCGGGGGAAAACCAGUGGCGAAGGCGGCUCACUGGACCAUUACUGACGCUGAGGUGCGAAAGCGUGGGGAGCAAACAGG
rnacentral:rRNA from 1 species